ensembl:lncRNA
CUCAUCAACCUCCUCUUCAUUCAUUGAAGGGCAGGAUCUCAUAGAGAUUUAUUAAAUAAAGGGCCAGAGCGGCUUGGCUCGGUGAAAUUGCAUUUGGGCUCCCGUGUCGAGUCCUAAUGCUCAAUCCGUGAAACAAGGUCUCCUCUUAAAGGUGCCUGAUGAGAACACGUGGUUCCGUGUGUGUGUGUCUUCUGGCAGGUCCUGUGCAGAACCUCCAGCAUGCUGUAACAGACGAGGGACAAGAGGAAAGGCAAGAUGUACAGAAUCAUGUGCCGGUGGUUUAACAAGCCCAACACACACACAAAAACCCUUUCUGACAAAAGCCGGUGUUACUAGCAGACAGUACCACAUGAAGACCGAGAAGAAGGUGAAACGGAUUUGAAAUGGAUAUGGCGAGGCAUGAUCUUCAGUCGGAGAUCCACUCAGUGAAUGAUCACAUUAUGGGCCCUGCAAUGGCGUGGGGUUCAGGAAAGCUAUGCGGCAGUCGGGGGCAAAGAAAUGAACAAGUGUUUCAUCUGUCACUUUCUCAAUAAAGCGCUCAAUAAAAGUGGGAAAUUGAUGAUGUUACCGGCUGUAUUACAUCUGAGGGCUUCACAAUGAGAAAGAAAGAGAGAGAGAGAGAGUGAAAGAGAGAGCGAAAGAGAGAGAGAGAGAGAGAGGACAAAUGAAGGGAGCAGUUUCCAUCAUUUGUUUUUCUUUUUUUCUUCUUGUGGCAUUAGCAAGGGGUCAAAGUGAGGUUAAUAUCCAGACAUAAAUCAUACUCGUAA